rnacentral:rRNA from 1 species
GACGAACGCUGGCGGCGUGCCUAAUACAUGCAAGUAGGACGCACAGUCUAUACCGUAGCUUGCUACACCAUAGGCUGUGAGUUGCGAACGGGUGAGUAACGCGUAGGUAACCUGCCUAUUAGAGGGGGAUAACUAUUGGAAACGAUAGCUAAUACCGCAUAACAGUAUGUAACACAUGUUAGAUGCUUGAAAGAUGCAAUUGCAUCGCUAGUAGAUGGACCUGCGUUGUAUUAGCUAGUAGGUAGGGUAAUGGCCUACCUAGGCGACGAUACAUAGCCGACCUGAGAGGGUGAUCGGCCACACUGGGACUGAGACACGGCCCAGACUCCUACGGGAGGCAGCAGUAGGGAAUCUUCGGCAAUGGGGGGAACCCUGACCGAGCAACGCCGCGUGAGUGAAGAAGGUUUUCGGAUCGUAAAGCUCUGUUGUUAAGGAAGAACGAGUGUGAGAAUGGAAAGUUCAUACUGUG